rnacentral:rRNA from 1 species
GGUUCGAUUCCGGAGAGGGAGCCUGAGAAACGGCUACCACAUCCAAGGAAGGCAGCAGGCGCGCAAAUUACCCAAUCCAGACAUUGGGAGGUAGUGACGAGAAAUACUGGGGGCGCUCAAUGAGUGCCAUCCGGAAUGAACGUAACACAAAAAAUUCGAUGAGGAUCUACUGGAGGGCAAGUCUGGUGCCAGCAGCCGCGGUAAUUCCAGCUCCAGUAGUGUAUAUCAACAUUGUUGCGCUUAAAACGCUCGUAGUUGGAUUACAGGGCUCAAAAGAGUGAUGUUCGCAAGAGCAGUGACUCGUGGUCGGGUGAGAAAUUGGCUGACCGCCGAGCCCUUUAUCGCACUGGUGCUGUAGUUGAUCUUUACUGGUCGCUGCAGUAGCCGGUGGAGUGUGCCUUGAAUAAAGCAUGGUGCUCAAAGCAGGCGUACGCUCGUGUGUAAUAGCAUGGAACGAAUAUGAAUGAUCGGGCCGGUGUAUGUGGUGGUGAAAUAGGCCAGUGCAAUGCCGGGCGCGACUCCCGUUGUGUUGGUUGGAGUCACGGUCUCAACGAUUAAAAGGGACAACUGAGGGCACUAGUAUUUUGUGGCGAGAGGUGAAAUUCUUAGACCCACAAAGGACUGACUACUGCGAAAGCAUUUGCCAAGAUUGCUUUCAUUGAUCAGCCGAGCUAAGGUCAGAGGAUCGAAGACGAUCAGAUACCGUCCUAGUUUUGACAGCAAACUAUGCCAGCAUAGGGUUGGGGCGGUCGUUCAGGGGGAAAACCUUGACGAACCAUCUCAGGCCUUAAGGGAAACCAAGCUUUCGGGCUGCUGGGAGAAUAUCGCUGCAAGGCUGAAAUUUAAAGAAAUUGACGGAGAGGCACCACCAGGAGUGGAGCCUGCGGCUUAAUUUGACUCAACACGGGGAACCUCACCAGGUCCAGACAUUGGCAGGAUUGACAGACUGGUAGAUCUUUCAUGAUUCAGUGGAUGGUGGUGCAUGGCCGUUCUUAGUUGGUGGAGUGAUCUGUCAGGUCUAUUCCGGUAACGAGCGAGACCACGGCCUUUAGUUUGUUGUUGGCUGGCCCAAUGACACUAGAGGGACUAUUGGUGUUGAAACCAGGGGAAGCGUGGCAAUAACAGGUCUGUGAUGCCCUUCGAUGUCCUGGGCUGCACGCGCGCUACAAUGGCAGCAGCAAAUAGUGUCGACUAGCCAGAGAUGGUCGGUCAAACUGUAAAUAGCUGUCGUGAUAGGGAUUGGGCCUUGCAAUUGUUGCCCAUGAAAGAGGAAUUCCUCGUAAGCGCCGGUCAUCAGCCGGUGUUGAAUACGUCUCUGCCUCUUGUACACACCGCCCGUCGCUACUACCGAUUGAAUUGCUUCUAAAGCUGGCUGGACUGUCUGUGCAAGUCGCUUGCAUGUGUG